CAGGGACUGCAGUAAAUACCUUAAAAACACAACCUCAUUCCAACCACAAGAAUCCAAUCAGAGAGAGGGACCGCAGAGAAAGCCCAGGGAAGAGCCAAGGCCCUUGAGAGAAGGAGCUGGAUCCCAGAAUCUAUGGAAUUGAAGGAGAGUCCCACAGAAGUUACCUUCUGAGCACGCAAUGGACUUUGUGUAAGCAGAAGAAUAAACUUUUACCAUGAAUCGGAGAAUGCCAUUUGCUGAAUAAUGGAACUCAUCUCAUGUUUUAAAAUCCUAUGUGCAUAUAAGGUUGUGUGCGGAUACAAGGUUAUUUUUUUCAUUGAAGUACCUCCAACCUAAAGCUCAGAAACAGGUGUGAUAUAGCACUCCUAUAAAAGGUAAAAAAAAAAGAGUUUAACUAAAAUUCCAUUCUCUGAUUAUUUUGCUCUAUUGGGUUAAUACUAAUGGAAGUCUUUACAAAAUGUUAAAUACAAUUUUUUAAGAUAAAUACAAAAAUGACAUAUGCUUAUGUCAAAAUGACAAGUACUUAAAUUUCAAAUUUUCACAGGAAAUAAAAUAUAGAUAAAUAUGCUUUGGGAAGGUAUUUCAAAUACUGUAUUAUGUCAACUGAUUUAAUGGCUUACUGAAUGAGUCACUUGAACACAGUUCUAAAGCAUGUUAAUUCUGUUCUAGAAGUUCAAAAUAUGUUUUUAGAAUGUAUAAUUUUGAUUAUUUUACUGUAUACCCAAAUAUUAAAAUAUUCUGAGCUGCAUGUGAACAAUAAAAAGUCAUUUCACAAAA
rnacentral:lncRNA from 1 species